AAGUGGGAAACGAUGUGGGAAGGCCCAGACAGCCAGGAUGUUGGCUUAGAAGCAGCCAUCAUUUAAAGAAAGCGUAAUAGCUCACUGGUCGAGUCGGCCUGCGCGGAAGAUGUAACGGGGCUAAACCAUGCACCGAAGCUGCGGCAGCGACACUAUGUGUUGUUGGGUAGGGGAGCGUUCUGUAAGCCUGUGAAGGUGUACUGUGAGGUAUGCUGGAGGUAUCAGAAGUGCGAAUGCUGACAUAAGUAACGAUAAAGCGGGUGAAAAGCCCGCUCGCCGGAAGACCAAGGGUUCCUGUCCAACGUUAAUCGGGGCAGGGUGAGUCGACCCCUAAGGCGAGGCCGAAAGGCGUAGUCGAUGGGAAACAGGUUAAUAUUCCUGUACUUGGUGUUACUGCGAAGGGGGGACGGAGAAGGCUAUGUUGGCCGGGCGACGGUUGUCCCGGUUUAAGCGUGUAGGCUGAUUUUCCAGGCAAAUCCGGAAAAUCAAGGCUGAGGCGUGAUGACGAGGCACUACGGUGCUGAAGCAACAAAUGCCCUGCUUCCAGGAAAAGCCUCUAAGCAUCAGGUAACAUCAAAUCGUACCCCAAACCGACACAGGUGGUCAGGUAGAGAAUACCAAGGCGCUUGAGAGAACUCGGGUGAAGGAACUAGGCAAAAUGGUGCCGUAACUUCGGGAGAAGGCACGCUGAUAUGUAGGUGAAGCGACUUGCUCGUGGAGCUGAAAUCAGUCGAAGAUACCAGCUGGCUGCAACUGUUUAUUAAAAACACAGCACUGUGCAAACACGAAAGUGGACGUAUACGGUGUGACGCCUGCCCGGUGCCGGAAGGUUAAUUGAUGGGGUUAGCGGUAACGCGAAGCUCUUGAUCGAAGCCCCGGUAAACGGCGGCCGUAACUAUAACGGUCCUAAGGUAGCGAAAUUCCUUGUCGGGUAAGUUCCGACCUGCACGAAUGGCGUAAUGAUGGCCAGGCUGUCUCCACCCGAGACUCAGUGAAAUUGAACUCGCUGUGAAGAUGCAGUGUACCCGCGGCAAGACGGAAAGACCCCGUGAACCUUUACUAUAGCUUGACACUGAACAUUGAGCCUUGAUGUGUAGGAUAGGUGGGAGGCUUUGAAGUGUGGACGCCAGUCUGCAUGGAGCCGACCUUGAAAUACCACCCUUUAAUGUUUGAUGUUCUAACGUUGGCCCGUUAUCCGGGUUGCGGACAGUGUCUGGUGGGUAGUUUGACUGGGGCGGUCUCCUCCUAAAGAGUAACGGAGGAGCACGAAGGUUGGCUAAUCCUGGUCGGACAUCAGGAGGUUAGUGCAAU
rnacentral:rRNA from 1 species